CAAAAAAAAACCCUAUCGAUCCCCUCGAGGUCACAAGCACACAGCGCCGCCGAUCCUCUCGAUCCACCCCUCCCUAUGCGACCUCUAUCCUUCCCUCUCCUCGCUCUCCGCCGCCGCCCCCAUCUCCCGCUCCGACACCGCCCCUACUGCUCCGCCGGCCCGACGCAGCCGGAUCUCACAGCCCGAUCUCAUGCGAUCUCACAGCCGCCGCCGCCGAUCUCACAGCCGGAUCUCGUGCGAUAUCGCGCCGCCGACGUACGGAGUCGCCUCCACAGUACGGGAUCACCGCCGCUGACGUAAGAGGUCACGUCGCUGCCACCACUGACUUACCCGCGCUGCUCGCUGCUCUGCUCGUGUCACGCCUCCUCGGUCAUGUUUGCCGCCAUGGCCACCAGUCCCCACCUCGAUCUGUCAUCCCCUUGACCAGCCACCCAUGUCCUAGCCAUGUUGUUGUUGCUGAUCUCCCCUCCCCAACCCGUAGGUGCACACCACCCCCUUCCCCUCCCUCCAUUCCCCCCGCUAGCGGCCUCCUUCAAUAGAUGUGGGCGCUGCAGGUGGACAAUAUGGAGGUUCCGGCUGUCGCUGUUGUCAAACGACAAGAUGGGUAGCGAGACAGCCGUCGUGACUUCAGGUAUGUUUGCUUGAGUGUGUCUUUUUUUUUCCUUGUGCGCUGCUUCAAUUUCUUUAACUAACCCGCCAGCGGAGAAGGUGCUCUGGAUUGAGAAGGUUGGUGAGCACGCUAAGAUGCAACAUACUCUAGGGGCCGCAGUGACCAAAUUGUUAAGAAUAUUAGACUCUGGUGUCGUGAUGUUGUAUACAAGAUAUUGAUUGGCAUCAAAUAGUUUCAGGUUUGUUCUUGAAUUCGAUUCAUGCUGUUCAUGGCGUCUGCUUAUAAUCAGGUUUAAAUUUCUGGUGUUUCAUGUAAUUUAUUGUCAACAUUAUGUAUCUUUUCUUCUAUAACCCUUAUUGCUCAAAUCAGAUUUGGUAUCUCCAAUAAGUCCCCAAUCUCAGGCACAUUUAGUUUCAUGUUGAAUGCAUUAUAGCCAAUUCAAUUUAUUUUGUACGUAUAGCUAUUGAUCCUUUAUGAUUCAUGAGAUUGUUGACAAAUUGCAAAAUUAUUCUUUGGUUAUAAUUCUAUGGUUCUCUCUGGCUGCAGACAACUUUUUACCUCUGCAUACAUGUUCCUUAUGACAAUUAAAGGAUACUAAUUUCUUUUUUUUAAUAUUACAGGAGAUGCGUAUACGUAAGUUUGACUUUCAGAUAAUACAUGCCAAAUUAAUGUUAUGUCGUGCAUGAAGGCAGGGUAAUGGUGAAGCUUCAUUCUGACGGUCUAGAAGUUUUUAUUUGGUGUUUCCCUCGGCAGGGUAAUGGAGGAAGAUGAGACUUACCCCAGUUUUCAGUGCAUGGUUGGAGAAGAGGAUAAGAGGAGGCUUGAAUCUUGAGGUGACAAGGGUAGUCAUCUGGUGCAACUAAAGGUUCAGCUUCAUACUUGUGAUGAUAUUGUUCAGUUUGCCUGGAUGAUUGCCCUUGUACUACUCUUUCAGAAGGAAGGAGGUAAAUGGAGCAAAAGGCACGAGGAGAAAGGAGUAACGCCAUAGGGACGACGUUGUCGGCAGCGCCUUUGAAAGGAUUCGCCAUGGAGAAGCUACGGUGGCUGACCAUCUUGCUCGGGAAGUGGGAAGGAUGUCAUUCGGAACGCCCCUAGGUUCUAGGGGCGUGCGUCCAUGCGGCGGCCGAGGUGGCCACAAGGAGUUGGAUUGGGCACUUGCCAAUCAAAGCGUGUCGUUGCUCAAGGUACCAACACCCUGGUUUUGACAGAAAGUUUCUUGGCAAGCUGUGCAUGGUUGGGACUGUUUCGUGCAUGCGUCAGUGGCAUCCAUGUCGCCGUCGCUUGCUGUUAGUUUUUCUUGCAUUCCAAAUUACUUUCUGUGGUGUUCCUCAAUGCAUGAAUUAUUUUCAAUAUGGACGUGAGUCUGAAAAAUGUGGUACGGCUAUCACCAUUUUUUUAAACUGCAGAUAUUUGAAGCUGAGAAACAUGAUAUUUUAUUUUCCAUGUUGCUCUAUCUCUGUAUUGUUAGAUCACGGGAACUUUUAUCACAUAUGUUUGUGUGCAGUAUGCCAAUUUAUCCGUGAUGGCAACCUAACAUUUGGAGGUAACGACGGCCUCACCAGAGUAAGGGGAAAAUUGUGGGAGUGGACGCACAUCAUGUAGGUGAAACGGGAGAGUUUGUGGUCGUAGCAGCUGUGUUCUUCUUACAGUUUUCCUUCUCUGAAUUGCAUCUUUGGUACAUCUAUAUUUAUUAUUUAAUAGCAUGGAGAGAAAGUUAUAAAUCGGUAUUUUCAUCUCUUAUGCAAUUGAUUCUGUACAGAGGAAAAGUAUGCACUCUUUUCUCAUUCUUUCACAAUAUAUCCUCCUUUUGAUGUCUUAUCUAACCUGCCCAUGCCUCAGCAAUGACACAUUUGAGGAGUCUGAACUCCGAAGGAAGGUGACGACGAGUUGAACCCAUGGAAUUAUGAGACACCUCAUGAUGUGUCAAAACCUGUCCUGCAAAAUAAAGGAGCGUUGAGGAUGAUGGCUUUCAUGUUCGCUUGGAUGAUGCUGGUUCCGUGGUGGCCUUUGAUAUGUCAGGUAAGAUCUUGGGGUAUCAUAUUUGCUGAUUCUCCAUUAGAUUCCUCUGUUCAUUGCAGGGUGUGUCCUGUUGUGUUGGGCUUGGUGUGAUGCGGGUCGCCUGUGCGGAUAUGCUGUGUCCGCGGGCCAUCCGUGUGAUAUUUGUGUUCAUCAAUGCAAGAGGAAAGUAACUUGAUAGUUUGAAAUAAAAAUGAUUCCGACAAGAUUUGGUCAUGGUGUAUUAUUCUUAGACUAACUUACCCUUUUCUUGUAGAAACUACUCCCUCCGUUCCUAAAUAUAAGUCUUUUAGAGAUUCCAAUAAGGGACUACAUACUGAGCAAAAUGAGUGAAUCUACACUCUAAAAUAUGUCUAUAUACAUCCGUAUGUAGCAUGUGUUGAAAUAUCUAAAAAGAGUUAUAUUUAGAAACAGAGGGAGUAGAAUGAUAUGUCUAGAGAAUAAAUGUGCAUGUAAAUUUGGUACACAGUUUUAGUACAUGUGCAUUUCAUUACAAUUAUAAGUAGGUUUCUAGCAUGCUUUUAUUUGAGGUCUUUGCUAAGUGGUGUGUGUGGCUGAAUUAGAUGGAAAUCCUUCCAUCGGUUAUUGCUGGUCAUAUAGAGUUUACCUUUGAUUUCCUAUAUGGUGUACUUGGGUCCAGUUCUCGUGAGAAAAUUUGAUGUAGUUUCUGCAUUAAUUAGCCUGGUCGGUAUCAUUUGUUGAACCAUCAAGCUAUAUAGUCACAUGCUAUCUUGUAGAAGGCAUCAAGAAUCUACCAAAAGUAGAGCCAUGAUAACUUCAUUCAGUCAAGACUGUAUUACAAGAAUUUCCAACCGAUAAUAAGAUCCUGGUUUUCAGUAAUGCUUGUAUAAUGAGGGACAUUCUCAAAACUAUAUAUUUUUAUUCAUUAAAUAUUAUUUCAAUUUUUAUUACUCAGUGUGCAACUCCUUAAAGCUACGAUGUUUGAAAAAUAAAUUGGAUAGUAUUAUGAGGGAUAUGUUUGACACAAUUGAUGUUGAACCACUGAAAAUUUAUGGCCCCGUUGGAACGCAUGGGCACCUAAUUAUAGAUUAUUUGCAGCUAAUACUUGUUCUCACCUUCUGAUUUUUUAUUCACACCAUGUUUCAAGAGACCAUGUGCAGCUCCAUAGAUGACAGCAAGCUCGCCAUGACUGGGGGUGGAGCUGAAGAUGUACCACGACUUUUCGUCACUACCCUCGAAAGUUGGAAGGUUAACCAUACCGUGUAACGUAUACUGAGUUGUAUGAGAACUAAUUACAGAACAAAUAAUUUUUCAAGGAAUUUGAAAAAAAUAUCAUGUUUUUCCAUCGAUUCUGAGGCAGUUUUGAAAUUGGAAGCUCGGUAUGGGUUACGGCGUGUCUUUUUAGAAUCACUUCAAUUAGUUUUGAAAUUGGAAGCUUGGCCUGUCUUUUCGUCGA